rnacentral:rRNA from 1 species
CUCGUAGGCGGUUCGUCGCGUCCGGUGUGAAAGUCCAUCGCUUAACGGUGGAUCCGCGCCGGGUACGGGCGGGCUUGAGUGCGGUAGGGGAGACUGGAAUUCCCGGUGUAACGGUGGAAUGUGUAGAUACCGGGAAGAACACCAAUGGCGAAGGCAGGUCUCUGGGCCGUCACUGACGCUGAGGAGCGAAAGCGUGGGGAGCGAAACA